GAUCUUUUUAUAUGGAGUACAAAUUAAAAUAGUAUUUCAUGUGAUUAAAUAUGGUUGAAAACUGUAGAAAACCAGUAGAAAACAUUGUGUGCUUAUUUCAGUCCGCCUGGUUCCAGCGACAGACUGGGUAGAUUAACACAGCAUCUUCUUAAUCAGCAUAGUUACUACCCCUACUACCCACCCCACGAGGAGAUGUGUAUAGAUUACGAGAAGUUCCAGACAACAUGUAUAAUGCCGACCACACCGCAUAUCCUUAUUGUACCUUCAGAAUUCAAACAAUUUAUCAAGGAAAUGAAGGGUUGUUGUUGUAUCAAUCCAGGACGUCUCACUAAAGGUUUGACUGGGUCUACAUUUGCGAAAAUUGUUGUACAAACGAAUGAACUUGAAAAUAACCAGUCUUUGGUCAAGAAUAUAACAGCACAAGUGGUUAGGAUAUGAAUUUUAUUGAACCAGUUGAUCAUGUAUAAAGAAAAUGAAAUUACAGUUGAUGCAUUAAUGCAAACAUACAUUUAGCUAGAGCAGAAAGGAGAUUUUAUCAACAGUUUUAUAUGGAAGUGAAGAAAUAUCUUAAGAAGUUGAAUAGAAGGUAAAAGGUGACAUUUAAAACAUGGAACCAGUGUAGCAAUAUAUAGUACACUUCGAAGCCCAUAUUGACACAUGAGCCUUGCACAUAACAGCAAGAUUGAAGAAGUCAAUAAAAUUAUAUUUAGAAUUAUA